UCUGUUGUUAUUUAUGUAUUAUUGUCAUUUUACUUAUUUUCUUUUGUUACAUCUUCUGACAUCGGACAGAUACUUCUCUUGAUCUGGAUUUUAUUGUGCGUAUUGUUAUGCGUUUACAUUUCUACAUUGACUAGAGGUAUAGGGGAAGGGUUGAGAUCUCAUAAACAUAUUUAACCCCGCCGCAAUUUUGCGCCUGUCCCAAGUCAGAAGCCUCUGGUCUUUGUUAGUCUUGUAUGCUUUUUACUUUUAGUUUCUUGUGUAUAAUUUGGAGUUUAGUAUGACGUCCAUUAUCACUGUACUAGUAUACAUUUUUUAAGGGGCCAGUUGAAGGACGCCUACGGAUGCGGGAGUUUCUCGCUACAUUGAAGACCCAUUGGUGGCCUUCGCUGUUGUCUGCUCUAUGGUCGGGUUGUUGUCGCUUUGACACAUUCCCAAUUUCCUUUCUCAAUUUUACAUUUCACUCACAUGAUUGUAUGUUUUUCAUCAAACUUAAAUGUUUGAGACCUUGGCUUUCUAUAACAAGCAAAAUUGAAAAAUAAAUGUCAAGCAGCAUUCGUUUAACCUAUGUCGUAUCAAAGAAAGGCACAUAGAAACAAACAUUUAUUGAGCUUAUUGAAAAUUUCAGCAAACAGUCGGUGUUUCAAUUGCUACUGAUAUUUUUUUUUCACUGGCCAAUAUGUUUUAACAUGAAGCAUAUUUCAAACAGAAAUUGUCAAAAGACAAAAUGAAAACGGCAUCUUUCAAAGUUGUUUUAAUUUCGCCUUCAGACAUGUUGAUCAAGUUCUGUCACUCAAGAAGCCACAUUUCUAUAUAUACAAGCGAUCUUAGUGUUAAGGAAACUUAAAGUCGGAGGUUUGCAUCAUAUCUUGCCUCCUUCCUCGAUAUAGAUACAUAUGGACGAUCUCAAACUUUUUUUAUAUAGAUUAGACCACUGGUUUUUCCGUUUGAAUGGUUUAACACUAGUAAUUUUGGGGUCCCUUUAUAGCUUAUUGUUCGGUGUGGGCCAAGGCUCCGUGUUGAAGGCCGUACUUAAACCUAUAAUGGUUUACUUUUAUAAAUUGUUAUUUGGAUGGAGAGUUGUCUCAUUGGCACUCACACCACAUCUUCCUAUAUCUAUUAAGACAAAUUUGAUGAUUCAAACUGUCAAAUAGUCAACUGCCGAUUUUAUCAGCAGAAGAAUCCCGUAUACUCCAUAGCAUGAGGUUUACAUAUCUCAGGUAAAACGUUACACAGGUGCAUAUUCAUACUAUACUAACUUCGUUAAAAGGGAUAUGCUACUUUCACAACAACAGUUCUAUUGGUAAACGAAAGAACGACUGAAAUUGACAAAAAAUUAGUUUUAACGUCACUUACAGGAAAUUGUUGACCCUUGUAAUAUAAUUCGGUGACGCGGAUAUUCAGUUAGUUUGAAAUUGUACGAUUGUGUCAUUUUGACAUAGUGUGGAUUCGAAGGGCAGUUUAUGCAUGCACAGCAGUAUACGCUCACCUUGUUGACACGUGCAUUGCAUAUGAACAUCGACAAACUACUGUUACCUUUAUAUAUGUAUCUUAUGUCUUUUUGGAAAUCAUUUUGCUUCGUGUCAUAUCUAUCAGUUUCCAGUUUAUGCUAAUGUCAUUCUGGCAACAUGUUAAUAUCUGUACAUUAUGACGGGGCCUCUGACACUUUGUUAAUUUCUCGGUAUUCUUUUGUUGCUGGUUGUCAUAUUUGUUGUCUAUUUGGCUUUUAGCAUGAGUGAUUUUUUUCUCGUUUUAAUUUAUUUUAAAUUUUGUCUAUUCGAGGUCGUUUAGAGCUUACUAUGUAGUAUAGGUUUUUUACAUUGCCUAAGGACGUAUGUUGAAAAUCACAUUAACGGCAUAUGCAAACUGAAGAAUAAUCAUAGCUGCUUAUUAGCAAUCGUUUCACAUGUUCGUGGUUUCGAUUUCAUGCAUGCACUUAUUUAUAAGUACCGUAAUACCAUACAGUCAAAUAAUUUGAUUAUUAAAUAUUAUUUGAUAUUAUUUUGUCAAGUCUAAACCUUUUCGAAUGUUUACAAUCUAUGUGUCAUAUUAUACGAACAUUUUUAGAAAUAGCUUGAUCGUGGGUUUUAAUUAAUAUUUUGCAUUGUAAAUGAUUAAAUUAUUCAUUGAUGUGCAAGAUAAAUACAACAAGGUAUGGAAUAUGUCGAACGCCAAAUCCGAUAAUUUACGAUGAAGGAAAACGUAUCUCAAUACGCAGUAAAUGUAAGACAUUUAGGUCAAAACAAGCUUGCACUUGAGAAAAAAAAACACGUUUGCGUUUUAAUUUGUCCUUUUUCCCGGACUAACCUCAUGAUAUACAUAAUUAUACGUCUUUUUGAUAUAUAUGUUGCAUAGGUCUAAGAAUAUUAUACUUUUGGUAAUGUUAUAAUUGUUUUGUUAUUGAUCAUCCAACCACAUUCAAGCUUAAAUUGUUUAUUUUUUAUAUUUUUAUAUCUCUAUAAAAUAUGUAUAAAAGUUAUGUACUUGAUGACGUGUUCUUUUAAUUAUUUUUGUUUUGAAGAAUAGAAGUAAACAUAAUGCCCGGCGUUAAGUAUAUCUGUAA
rnacentral:lncRNA from 1 species